rnacentral:rRNA from 1 species
UACGGAGGGUGCAAGCGUUGUCCGGAUUUACUGGGCGUAAAGGGCGCGUAGGCGGCCAGCACAAGUCAGUUGUGAAAUCUCCGAGCUUAACUCGGAACGGUCAACUGAUACUGUGCGGCUAGAGUGCGGAAGGGGCAACUGGAAUUCUUGGUGUAGCGGUGAAAUGCGUAGAUAUCAAGAGGAACACCUGCGGCGAAGGCGGGUUGCUGGGCUGACACUGACGCUGAUGCGCGAAAGCCAGGGGAGCGAACGGG